AGAGUUUGAUCCUGGCUCAGAUUGAACGCUGGCGGCAUGCCUUACACAUGCAAGUCGAACGGCAGCACGGGAGCAAUCCUGGUGGCGAGUGGCGAACGGGUGAGUAAUACAUCGGAACGUGUCCUGUAGUGGGGGAUAGCCCGGCGAAAGCCGGAUUAAUACCGCAUACGCUCUACGGGAGGAAAGGGGGGGAUCUUCGGACCUCUCGCUACAGGGGCGGCCGAUGGCAGAUUAGCUAGGUGGGUGGGGUAAAGGCCUACCAAGGCGACGAUCUGUAGCUGGUCUGAGAGGACGACCAGCCACACUGGGACUGAGACACGGCCCAGACUCCUACGGGAGGCAGCAGUGGGGAAUCUUGGACAAUGGGGGCAACCCUGAAUCCAGCAAUGCCGCGUGUGUGAAGAACGCCUUCGGGUUGUAAAGCACUUUUGUCCC
rnacentral:rRNA from 1 species